AAACUUACCUGGGUGAGGAAGUAUCUUGAGCAGGAAGGUGAUUCUCCCAUGGCAAAGUUUAGCUUUUUCACUCUGUAGGAAUGACCUCAGCCAUUUUUCCAAAUAUGAAAACUCAACUUCAUGCUCUGUGGAAGAUACAAUAUUCUCUGUCC
ensembl:snRNA U1 U1 spliceosomal RNA